AAUGACAAGUGUCUUCAUCUGCAC
rnacentral:siRNA from 1 species